ACUCAAAUGAAUUGACGGGGACCCGCACAAGCGGUGGAUGAUGUGGUUUAAUUCGAUGCAACGCGAAAAACCUUACCCACCUUUGACAUGUAUGGAAUCCUUUAGAGAUGAAGGAGUGCUCGAAAGAGAGCCAUAACACAGGUGCUGCAUGGCUGUCGUCAGCUCGUGUCGUGAGAUGUUGGGUUAAGUCCCGCAACGAGCGCAACCCUUGCCAUUAGUUGCUACGAAAGGGCACUCUAAUGGGACUGCCGGUGAUAAACCGGAGGAAGGUGGGGAUGACGUCAAGUCCUCAUGGCCCUUAUAGGUGGGGCUACACACGUCAUACAAUGGCUGGUACAAAGGGUUGCCAACCCGCGAGGGGGAGCUAAUCCCAUAAAACCAGUCGUAGUCCGGAUCGCAGUCUGCAACUCGACUGCGUGAAGUCGGAAUCGCUAGUAAUCGUGGAUCAGAAUGUCACGGUGAAUACGUUCCCGGGUCUUGCACACACCGCCCGU
rnacentral:rRNA from 1 species